rnacentral:rRNA from 1 species
GACGAGGGAUCCUAGCGUUGUUCGGAAUCAUUGGGCGUAAAGCGGGUGUAGGUGGCUUUGUAAGUCAGGUGUGAAAGCCCAGGGCUCAACCCUGGAAGUGCAUUUGAUACUGCGAAGCUUGAGUGCUGGAGAGGCUACUAGAAUACCUGGUGUAGUGGUGAAAUACGUAGAUAUCAGGUGGAAUACCGGAGGCGAAGGCGGGUAGCCAGCCAGACACUGACACUCAGACCCGAAAGUGUGGGGAUCAAACAGG